CACUCCUACGGGAGGCAGCAGUGGGGAAUAUUGGACAAUGGGCGCAAGCCUGAUCCAGCCAUGCCGCGUGAGUGAUGAAGGCCCUAGGGUUGUAAAGCUCUUUCACCGGAGAAGAUAAUGACGGUAUCCGGAGAAGAAGCCCCGGCUAACUUCGUGCCAGCAGCCGCGGUAAUACGAAGGGGGCUAGCGUUGUUCGGAAUUACUGGGCGUAAAGCGCACGUAGGCGGAUCGAUCAGUCAGGGGUGAAAUCCCAGGGCUCAACCCUGGAACUGCCUUUGAUACUGUCGAUCUGGAGUAUGGAAGAGGUGAGUGGAAUUCCGAGUGUAGAGGUGAAAUUCGUAGAUAUUCGGAGGAACACCAGUGGCGAAGGCGGCUCACUGGUCCAUUACUGACGCUGAGGUGCGAAAGCGUGGGGAGCAAACAGGAUUAGAUACCCUAGUAGUCCCAUG
rnacentral:rRNA from 1 species